rnacentral:rRNA from 1 species
AUGAGCAGCCCCCGCCACCGCUCCCGCUCCUCGGCGGCGGCGCCGCCAGACGAUGACAACCUGCUCGCCGAGAUCCUCCUCCGCCUCCCCCCGCAGCCCUCCUCCCUCCCCCGCGCCUCCGCCGUCUGCAAGUUCUGGCGCAGCCUCGCCUCCGACCACGGCUUCUCCCGCCGCUUCCGCGCGCACCACCGCCAAAACCCUCCCCUCCUCGGCUGGCUCAUCAAUAAUUUGUACGAGAUUGGCUUCCAGCCUACGCUGGAAGCCCCCAAUCGGGUCCCGGAAGCCCGCUUCUCCUUCCCAAUCAAGGCCAGCAGCCGCUUCUGGCCCCUCGGAUGCCGCCAUGGCCUCGUACUCAUCUCCCGCUUCUUGCAGAAAGCCGCGCAGGUGAAGCUCCUGGUGUGGGACCCCAUAACCGGCGACCAGCACCUCCUAGACAUUCCUCCAGGGUUCCACAGCGAGUCGAUCAGCGCGGCGGUGCUUCGUGUUCCUGGAGAUAUCCACCAUUUCCAGGUGGUCUUGGUAGGCAACAGCGACAUUCAAAGCACACAAGCGGUAGCCUCUGUUUACUCUUCAUUGACCGAUGUAUGGGACAAGCUCAUCUCAACACCGCUUCCAUCAGAGCAUUCUGGUUUUCCCACCAUGGUUUACACGGGCAUGCCUGCUGUGAUGGUUGGGGGUUCCUUUUAA